rnacentral:misc_RNA from 1 species
ACUUGAUGCUUAAAACAGCUAGCUCAUCACUUUUUUAUUAGCCACUCUAUUCUUGAUUAUAGGUAGAGAAAGGUUGUUGUCCAAUGAAGAACAGUAAGUACAUGUACUACCUCUAGCGUGUUUGUUUAUAUUGUUGUUGUGUAUUGUUUGUUUGUAAAUGCACUUGUUUACAUCAAGAGUAGCUACUCUUGUUUACAUUCACAUUAGGUCUGUUAGAGUUUUAAUGAGACGUUUUGCAAGGUUCCUUGAUGCAGAGACAACAGAAAAACUAAUACAGAGUUUUCUGAAUGAAAAGAGGUUGAUUAAGAGAAUCAAGUGUCUUCAAACUUAUCGUUGCCUUGGUAUCAAAACACUAGCUGGUAGUGAACUGUAUGAAAGGUUAAGAGAGAAGAGAGAGAAAACAAGAGAAAGAAUGAAGGCAUCACUUGAUUUAAUAACAAAGAAUAACAAGUGCUACUAUAUCAUGUACUAAUAUUGAACUACAAGGACAACAAGCAAUGUGUAGUACUGGUAAAACAAAAUACUCAUUAACUCCAUUAAACAUUACAUACUCACCCGGUGUGGAGCAACUGGAUCAUGAAGAGAAACAAAUAUGUUCAGUCCAUCGUAUAUUACCUGAUGUAUAUUUACACUGUAAAGGAGUAAUGAUUGCUGAGAGUAGGAAAUGUGGAGGGAAGCUACGUCUGAUGGAUGCUAGGAAGUUGUGUCGUAUUGAUGUAAAUAAAACUAGAAAGAUAUAUAAUCAUUUUUUGUCUAAAGAACUUGUACAACCACCAUCUUA